rnacentral:lncRNA from 1 species
UUAUGGCAGAUAGAUAUUAUUAGGAGUCAGGCAACAAAACUGUCUCAGAAUGAGCUAAAAGUUUAUUAUUUGGUUUUUUUUUAGAUGGAGUCUUGCUCUGUAACCCAGGCUGGAGUGCAGUGGCACGAUCUCGUCUCACUGAAACCGCUGCCUCCCGAGUUCAAGUGAUUCUCCUGCCUCAGCCUUUCGAGUAGCUGGGAUUACAGGACUACCACAACUGGAUGAUAAGGAAGGAAGAAACACAGUUCACAGACGAAUGAGAUCAAUAGGUUGGCAUGAGUGGAAAAUGGGUUACUUCUGCAAAAAGGCCCAGCACGUAAGUAUCUCUAGAAGAAAGAAGUAAAGGGAAAAUUCUAUAGAGGGCAGAGAUUGGAAAUCAACACACUGUAAUCUACUUGGUGUAGAAGGGGAAAUGGCUUGCAGCAAACAUAUGCACAGCUUUGGUCAGUGGUAAAUUGCUCUGCCUGGUGGAAUCAGAUAUAAGAAAGCAAGGUUGGAAAAGUAGAGACAAAGAAGAUAGGGCAAGAGGCAUACGACUGGACCCAUGGGAGUUGACACUGAUGUGUGGAUAUUUGGUUUUCCCAUUUGUUCCACCCUAGUGGAGCAACAUCCACCCCGGUGGAGCAAC